UGGGGAAUCUUGCGCAAUGCGCGAAAGCGUGACGCAGCAACGCCGCGUGGGGGAAGACGGCCUUCGGGUUGUAAACCCCUUUCAGUUGGGACGAAGCUUCACCGGUUAAUAGCCGGUUGGAGUGACGGUACCUUCAGAAGAAGCUCCGGCUAACUACGUGCCAGCAGCCGCGGUAAUACGUAGGGGGCAAGCGUUGUCCGGAAUUAUUGGGCGUAAAGAGCGUGUAGGCGGUUCGAUUAGUCUGCUGUAAAAGUCGGGGGCUCAACCCCCGAAAGCCGGUGGAUACUGUCGGACUAGAGUACGGAAGAGGCGAGUGGAAUUCCUGGUGUAGCGGUGAAAUGCGCAGAUAUCAGGAGGAACACCGACUGCGAAGGCAGCUCGCUGGGACGUAACUGACGCUGAGACGCGAAAGCGUGGGGAGCAAACAG
rnacentral:rRNA from 1 species